ACGAAAUCCAGAAGAAGUUUUCAAGGAAGAGACGCCCCUCUGAGAGAGAGAAGAAGGCCAAAAGGGCCUCACUCAAGUGGGUACAAACCGUGCGCCCCGUGGACGCCAUCCACUAUUUCAUGGAGAAGGAGCUGGAGAAAGAGCUGGCGGCCCUGAAGUCCAUCCUCACCCCGCUUCCCUCCGAGGAACCCGGACCCAAGAACACCAUCGUGGCCUUGCCCCCCGUCCACAAGUAAGUUGUUGCAUGUCAGCAUGUUCAGCCUGUGAUUGUGUCUGAUGCUCAUGAAGUCG
rnacentral:lncRNA from 11 species